AUGAGCCCCCACUUCCCGUUAGAUUCACCAGAGGUUUUCAUGGUCUUUUCAAAGAACAGACACGCUCACGGCUCAAUACAGGCAAAACCAGGCCACAGCUCACCCUGCCAGGAGAAUCCACACCUACAGAGGGGAUGCCGCCCUCCAGCAGCCCUAAAAGAAAUUUCUUUCAAGAAACUUGGCUUCAUACCCGUGCCAAAGCACUAUGAAGAGAGGUCCUCUUUCGUUCCGUUCAGUGCAGCAGUUGAAAAAGGAAAGGGAGGUAUGUUUUUAUGGAAACCUCAAACGCCCCUCCACAUCUCCUGUGAAUUACCUCUGUGUUCAGGCAGCCGAGCUAGACAGCUGCGAGGAGAGGCAUGUGUUUUUGAUGGGGGCCUUGGAAAGAAAAGGCCCCUUGUACCCUGGCCAAGGCAUGUAGGUGGUGUGACCUGGGAGGACAGCAGGGCCAGGAGCUCCCCAGCUGUGGCGGAAGCCAGGCUCCCAGGGGCAAUGUUCCAGUGAGCCAGAGGGGGAACCAGAGAGCUGGGAGGCCCCACCUGGUCCAGAGGGAAACAGGCAGCACCUGCCCUAGGCAGUGAGCAAGGGUCAGGGAAUAUGGGGGAAUUCCCGACAGGGGCAAGGCCCCUGCCCUCCCUUUCCUUUUUCCUUUUUUCCCUCUUCUCUUCUCUUCUCCUCUUCCUCCUCCUCUCCAUCUCCCUUCUCUUUCUCUCUUUCUGUCUUCCUUCCUUCCCUCUCUCACUCUCUUUCUUUCUUCCUUUCUCUUUCUUUCUCCUUCCCUCCCUCCCUCCCUCCCUCCCUUCCUUCCUUGCUUCCUGUGUUGUCUCUCUCUGUUUCCACUAAUAACAGAGAGGAAUGUUUUCCUUUUUUUUUUUUUUUGACACUGGGUCUCACUCUGUUUCCCAGCCCAGAGUGCAGUGGUUUGAUCAUGGCUCACUGCAGCCUCAACCUCCCAAGCUUAACUGAUCCUCCUGUCUCAGCCUCCUGAAUAGCUGGGACCACAAAUGCAUGCCACCACAUCCAGCUAAUUUUUUAAAAUUCUUUGUGGAGGUGAGGUCUCCCUAUGUUGCUCAGGCUGGUCUUGAACUCCUGGGCUCUAGUGAUCUUCCUGCCUCAGCCUCCCAAAGUGCUGGGACUACAGGCUACAGGCAUGAGCCACUGCACCUGGCCCCAGGUUAUUCUUAUGCACAGCAGGGUUGAUGCAAUGUACAAUGUUUUUCAACUGUGACUGACCAAGAACAGAGCAAACCAGACUAUGAGAUAGUCUUCAUGUAUAUCUCCCCACCAUGUAUAUAAACCUAAAACAAAAAUUACAUGAAACUACACUUCUGUGUGUGAGACACUUUGAUAUAUUCUACUCUCUUGUGUUCUGUUCUGAAAAGAAUAUUGGCUGUGGCUCACUGAAGUGAUUCCCUGUCAUAUUCACAGAUUGUGUCCCGCAGUUUGAAAAACACUGACAUAGUAAACCUCAACAAAUGUUUGGUGAGUAAAUGAAUGAUGGAACAAAUACCUGAAUAUUUCUGUCUCAACAUCAGCAAAACAGAGGGGCCGCACAGAUAAUUUCAUAGAUCUCUUCAUUAUAAAUACUGAGGUCUUCCUCUUUCUUUCUUUCUUAUUUUUUUUCUUUCUCUCUUUUCCUUCCUUUCUUUUUUCUUUUUUUUUUAAUUGCAUUUUAGGUUUUGGGGUACAUGUGCAGAACAUGCAAGACAUUUGCAUAGGUACACACAUGGCAGUGUGUUUUGCUGCCUUCCUCCCCUUCACCCACAUUUGGCAUUUCUCCCCAGGCUAUCCCUCCCCAGCUCCCCCCACCACUGGCCCUCCCCUUUUCCCCCCAAUAGACCCCAGUGUUUGGCACUCUCUUCCCUGUGUCCAUUAAAGAAAAAAUAUAUAAAUACUAAGGUCGAUGCCUUUGUUUUAAAAUUUCCAACAGCUUCACCAUGCCCCUGAGCUCUGGUAGGCCUCAGUUAAAGGGAUUCCCAUUGUUACAAGUGAUCAGAGGGUUCUUUUUCAAUAUGUUUAUUAACUAAUGAUAAGCACUGCCUUCCCUUCUAACCUCCCCAGACCUUCCAUCCCUGAGCCCAGAAGGCCCAGAAAAGUCAGAAGGUAAACCUAAAGUACAGAAGAUUCCCAAAAGACUCAUUUAUGGUAUUCUUCCUUGAUUUUCUACAAGUUCCCAAGGCUGAGGUGGAAUGUGGAGGAGUGAGGGCCUGAAGUCUCUGUGGCCCUGAAAGGUAUGCUAAUCAGUGUGGGCCAAGGAAAUAUGCUGCUAUUCCAGUGAGAAUAUGAAUCUUCAGCGUCUCGUACCCUGAGGGCUCUAUGAACCCCAUCCACUGCUUGUGGCUUAUCCUCCCUUAGCCCAGGCCAGGGACUUCUGGGGUCAUCCAGCAGGGCCACUACAAUACAAUGUGGAUCUUGAGAAGCCUGGAAAGGGCUGGUCUUCUGGUGAGCUCUGGAAGUGGCUCCAGUAGGACCUGGUUACAGCUCAUCCACAGGUAUGGCCUUCAGAAAGCUUGAGGAAAAGGCUCUAGUGGAGAACAGAGGUGGGUUCUCUGCUGUUCAGGAGGUAAAGGUGACUCCCCACCUCAUAUGAUAUUGUUAGCUAAUACUGAUUGGGGACUUGUCCAUCCCUUG
ensembl:lncRNA